rnacentral:rRNA from 1 species
UUUCUUGGGGGGAAAUCAAGGCNAUCCGGGCUAAACCUCCUGUGCCCAGCAGCCCGCGGUAAUACAGAGGAUGCAAGCGUUAUCCGGAAUGAUUGGGCGUAAAGCGUCCUGUAGGUGGCUUUUUAAGUCCGCCGUCAAAUCCCCAGGGCUCAACCCUGGACAGGCGGUGGAAACUACCAAGCUGGAGUACGGUAGGGGCAGAGGGAAUUUCCGGUGGAGCGGUGAAAUGCGUAGAGAUCGGAAAGAACACCAACGGCGAAGGCACUCUGCUGGGCCGACACUGACACUGAGAGACGAAAGCUAGGGGAGCCGCAAUGGGAUUAGAUACCCCAGUAGUCCUAGCCGUAAACGAUGGAUACUAGGCGCUGUGCGUAUCGACCCGUGCAGUGCUGUAGCUAACGCGUUAAGUAUCCCGCCUGGGGAGUACGUUCGCAAGAAUGAAACUCAAAGGAAUUG